rnacentral:rRNA from 1 species
GAUGAACGCUGGCGGCGUGCCUAAUACAUGCAAGUCGAGCGAACAGAUGAGGAGCUUGCUCCUCUGACGUUAGCGGCGGACGGGUGAGUAACACGUGGAUAACCUACCUAUAAGACUGGGAUAACUUCGGGAAACCGGAGCUAAUACCGGAUAAUAUAUUGAACCGCAUGGUUCAAUAGUGAAAGACGGUUUUGCUGUCACUUAUAGAUGGAUCCGCGCCGCAUUAGCUAGUUGGUAAGGUAAAGGCUUACCAAGGCAACGAUGCGUAGCCGACCUGAGAGGGUGAUCGGCCACACUGGAACUGAGACACGGUCCAGACUCCUACGGGAGGCAGCAGUAGGGAAUCUUCCUCAAUGGGCGAAAGCUUGACGGAGCAACGCCGCGUGAGUGAUGAAGGUCUUCGGAUCGUAAAACUCUGUUAUUAGGGAAGAACAAAUGUGUAAGUAACUAUGCACGUCUUGACGGUACCUAAUCAGAAAGCCACGGCUAACUACGUG